rnacentral:lncRNA from 1 species
AUUUAGAGCACCGAAGAAUGUUUCUAUUUACUGAUUUUUUUUUGAAAAAGUAUUUACUGGAAAAUAUUUCAGGGUCUCUGUCCAUUGCUGACGCAGAAGUUCUACAGGAUUCAACUCUAUCUCGUAUGGUGCUGCCGCACCAACUCUCCACGUUUCACCGAUUCUCUCGUAACGUUCUUGUAAUAUAUUUUUGUGCAAACAGAUGGCCGUCACCCUUUUGUAUAUAGCUAGCGGUAGCAAAUGGAUUGCUUCUUAAAAAGCGAAAAAUGGAUUGUUUGUAUUUAUAAUGAACUGCAGUGCUUGUAAAUAUAUGUAGACUGAUGAUUUACAGCAGAAAGUGCGUGAGAAUGUACCGUCUCUGCAAGCAUGCAUUUUUAUUGUUGAAAAGCUGAAUCUUUUUUGAGACUGAGAUUUAUCUUGAAC